rnacentral:lncRNA from 1 species
AGAGUCCUCAAAUUCUUGAGAGGAGGUCAAAUUCCACACUCAAAUGAUCUCCAAAAUUGUAUGUGGAUAUUUCUUCUAUUUGUCUUAUUUUUGGUAUCAGAGUAAAUUGAAAUAAUAGAAUGAGCUGAGAAAUGUUUUCUACUUUUAUAUUUUUUAGAAGAGUUUGUAAGGAAUUGGUUAUGUUUUCUUUAACUUACCAUAAAUUUCUUUGAAAUUCAGCCUCACAACAAUCUGUACACUAUACUUUAUUGUUAUUUAUCAAUUCACAAAGCCACGAAUUUAUCCAAAAAAUUUAUCCACAAAAUUCUCUUUUCUGUAGCUUCAUCAUGUACUGUAGCUAGUACUUUAGCACUUUCUGGAGCAAUUUCAUAUACAAAAUAAAUUCCCUCUUCCAUUUCCUGAAUGUAAUGUAUAGUUGAUUCAUUCACACUGAACUCAUUAAUACUAAACUCAUGGUAAACAACAUUCAUGCCUGAAUGAAGCUUAUCUAACACACAGAGUUUUUCUGUAGGGCACAUCGCAGCUUCUUGUGCUUAAGGAAUACUAGGCAGCACUUUAGCACUACACUUGAAGGCCAUUUAAAACAGCAAAAUCACCAACAAGAAGCACAAAAAUGUGAAAAACUUGGCAUUAAGUAUAUGUCAAAAAAAGAGACUCGUUUGCAGCAUGAGAGCUGAAACAACAAGGCAGUACAGUGCCUGGUUCGACCUCAGCUGAGAACAUGUGUGUUGGGUGACUCAGGUUUUUCAUUGCUUUACAUGUGUGUAUAAAUGACUGUGAAAAUGCCCUGAGUGUCAAUUUGGGGAGUUACAAAUGCAUUUUAGCAAGUGGUCAAGUUUAAAAAUAUAGAAUCCAUGAAUAAUGAGAAUCAACUCUGUUAGCAUGUUCAAUAAUGUUCUACAUUUCUCCAAGGCUCUUUUCAUUUUUUUCUUCUUAUUUUUUGCUGCUCUCAGAUUGUAUGAUCUCUAUCAGUCUAUCUUGAUGUUUACUUAUUUGUUCUCCCAACUUCCAUCUACUGUUGACCCCCUCAAGCAAAUACUUUAUUUGGUUAUUGGAAUUUUGAACUUCAAUAUUUCCCUUUUUAAAUAAUUUCUAUUUUCAGUGAUAUUUUCUAAGAGAUGAGACAUUAUCAUUGCAUCUUCCUCUAGUUCUUUUUUCCCUUUUUAUGGCUGUGCCUGUGGCAUAUGGAAGUUCCUAGGCUGUGGGUCAGAUGGGAGCUAUAGCUGAAGUCUAUGCCUCAGCCAUGGCAGCACCAGAUCCAAGCCACAUCUGCUAGGUUGCAGCUUCUGGCAAGGCUGGGUCCUCAACCCACUGAGUGAGGCCAAGGAUUAUACCCACAUCCUUACAGAGGUAAAGCCAUGGCUGGAACUCCCCUUCCUCUAGGUCCUUAAUCAUGGCUUCCUUUAGUUCUUUGAACAUAAUAACUACUUUAAAGUUUCUGUACUCUAAAUACAACAUUUGGACAGUCUUAAAUGCAGUUUCUGCUGCCUCUACUUUUAAAUCCUGAAAAUACACUUUCUUGUUUAUUUGCCCAUCUCAUAAUUUGUAUUUUUUUGUUCCAAACUGGAUAUUUUGACAAUAUAUUAUAGCACUUAUGAUACUAAUAGCCUAUAUCCAAGACUGUCAUUGUUUGCUGGUCUCCUUGUUAAUUUUUUUAAUUACUUGCCUCAACUAGUUCUGUGAAAAUGGUUUUUCUCAAAAUGUGCAACCUCUCAUGUUGCUCACCAAAAAUACAGUCUUAAACAGGUACACAGUCACCCUGACUCUUACUACCCACUGGGUAAACAAUGGUUUUAUCUAAGAACUCUUUUGACUGUCUCUUCCCAUGAACUUCCUCUUAAGAUACUGUUUUGGUCUGCCUGUAUUAUCAGACAAAAGCAGCUAGCCUAUGCUAAAUUCUACCUGAUUGCUCUUUUGUUUUUGACAACACUUUGGUUAAUAGAUUACUGUGAAUUCUAAAGUGAUUAUGUUUGAACAGAAACCAUAUGAUCCCUGUUUGUAGGAGUAGUCUUUGAGGCCAGACCUUAAAGCUUCCUCUACCUCCAGGAGGACUUGACUUAGGGGCUUCUUUCCUUGGUUAUUUCUACUAAUUUUCUAGCUUUUUGGCCUUUUCCCUUACUGCUGUUACAAGGCUAUAAGCCCCCUACUAAUUUCUCACCACCAGAAUCUGCAGUGUUUACUACAGUGCCCUUAGGCUUGAACUUCCCCACAUUGUGUUCCAUGGAAGAUGAGUCCUAUUAAGAAGAAGUGUGGAGCUCUUUGUACUUAUAGGCUUCUUCUUCCUCCUCCUGGGCAGAACAUAGGUGCUGCUGCUUCAGAGUUGAGAGUGAGGACAGCAGCCUCUUUCUCUUACAGUGACACCCAUGUUCUGUAAGCAGAGUUCUAGGCAAAGAUAGCCUCUGGUCUUCUUGGCCUUCUUUUCCUAUCAUGAAACCUUAGCUAAACACAUGACCUGGGGCAAGGAUGAUUAUGGACCAAUAUGUUCAGCCUCUCAUACCUGAAAUAGAAUGUUUUUUCUUAUGACAAAGGCUGAGUGGAGAAAUAGGGCCCCCAACCUCUCUGCCAUUUUUGCCUGAAACAAAAGUCCUAUACCAUGGAGCCAGGGGAGGAAGGGAUGAGAAAUAUGUGGCCUGACUCUCCUGAGGAGAUACCAUAACCCUAGGCUUGGAGCUGCAGUGAAAGACUAUCUCAUCUUCUUAACUUCACUCACUUAGAAUAUAGCUUUGAUCACUUUGACCUGGGGGAAAAAAGGGGCAAGUUGUGGUUCAAAUGUUAUGGACUCUUUCUUCUUAUCAAGAUUGAAUAGAUUGCAUUGAAUAAAUUUCUCCAUUUUCUCUAUGACCUUAGGAAAAUGUCCAGAGAUUUUAAAUUUUUAAAAAAUUUUACUAGUUAUUUUUUAUCAAAAAGAGGAUUCAGAGAGUUCUUCACUUCAUUACUCUAGAAGUGCUUCUGACUUUGCAUUUUCUGUAUAAUAUUUUACUGUUUAUAACAUUCUUAUAUUAAAAUACUUUUUCUAUCUCCAAUUACUUUAAAAAAUGUAUUAUAACACAGCAUCCAUCAUCAUUUAUAAUCUACUGUGAUCCCUUCAUAUUGGGAGACUAUCUCUUCCAAGAGUUGCAGUUGGAAAUUGAGACAUAAGAAACGUUUCUGCUUUCUUAUUUCCAUCCUCAAUUGAGGUUUCAACCACAGUAUUGGCAGGCAGUAAAUGCGGGCAUAGGCAGAGAACAGAGACUCAACCCAGACUCUAUUUCUAAUCCUAUUUUCUAGUCCUCACUAAGCUCACUGCUACAACAUAGUAAAUGUUUCUAUCUUUUGGCUCUGUGGUAGGAAAACAAUUCUAAGUCAUCAACCUGUAUCCUCAAUUCUACAUUUUUGUUUUAUUUUAAAAUAAAAGCUAUGUUAGGAAUUUCUGUUGUGGUGCAGUGGAAAUGAAUCCGACUAGGAUCCAUGAGGAUGUGGGUUUGAUCCCUGGCCUCACUCAGUGGGUCAGGGAUCUAGCUGUUGCCAUGACCUGUUGCAGGUCGCAGACGUGGCUAGGAUCUCACUUUGCUGUGGCUGUGGCAUAGGCCAGCAGCGGUAGCUCCUAUUUAACUCCUAGCCUGAGAACCUCUAUAUGCUGUGGGUGUGGCCCUAAAAAGAGGAAGAAAAAACAAAAACCUAUGUAUUAAAUCCAUAAGUUCUAGAUCUUAAAUUUUAAUAAUUAAAUACCACCUUUCUCUCUCAAAAGUCACAAACUGUCAAACUGUUACAAAUCAUAAGUGUUUUUACUUUCAAUAAAUUGUCUGUUUCAGUAAGUUUUCAAUAGCCUAAACAAAGAAUGUAGCUGUUUAUUCCUGCCUACCCUUAAGGGCAGGGAAAAUGGAAAGCUAUCCCUACUGCCCAGCUGUUAGGAGGAGAGAGCUGAACACUAGGAAACUUGGACAAAAAAAAAAAAAUGUCAAUUAACAUUCAAAAUCUUAUCCUGCUAUUACUUUAGAAUUGUUCAGCAAAUCACAUGGUCUUGUUAUUUGGAGGAGGGAGACUGUGGGAUGGAGAGGCUGGCUGCUAGUACAAGCAUAGUUGGUUCCUUUUUUCUUUAAAAACCAAAUAUUUAGAAGAGAAAGAGAAUAAAGAAAUGAGCUACUUUAAUUUCAUAUGGUUUCUUUUAAAAUAGUAAUUUGUAAAACCUGUUUUUCCUUAACUCUUUUCAGAGUUUCCAUUGCUGUAUGAAAAAUCCAAAUCUCCCUAAAUGUCUCUGACAGGCUGUGUUCAUCUUUUUUGCAUUCAGAGAACAUUGCGGUUUUACCCUAUUUGCGUAGACUUGAGUUGAACAUUAUCUUCUCAGCUUUUUUUUUAAUUGUGAGCGCUACUUGAUUGCUUAAAUGCUACAAUUUUUGAGUGUUUGAAAGUCAGCAUCACCAGAGCCACAAGGGCAACUUUUCCUUCUAAAAGAAGCUAAGAAUUCAUUAUAAAUUAUUUUUGUUCAUCAGAAAGCAAAAGGCAUAUAUGCUAAAAAAGAUAAAGUGAGAAAAUUACCAAAAUUGUUAAUUAUUCUUUCUCCAGAUCAGAAUACCCAUCAGCUUGGAGACCAAGAGGAAAGCUUGAGGAUCAUUAAAUCUGGUGUGUAAGAUAAUAUUUUCACUGAUUAGUUUCUCCUGAAAUGUCUUUUUUUUUUUUUUUUUAAACUUAGCUAGCCCUUUCUGGGGUCAACGAGUUAAGGAAGGGAUUUAACAAUCUGAGGUUGAGUGGUUGUCUGUCUCUUCCUGACUUCUGAAUUUCAAAAACCUGGAUCCUUAAUGAAAUAGGAAGAGUUUGAGGUAAAGAAUAUAUUUUGGAGAAUACUGUAGUAUGAACAAAACUUUCUUGCUUCUCACUCUAAGAAAAAGGUGAGACAGAGAAUAAUUCAAUGGUAAUGGGUCCCAUAGAGAGGAUCCCGUGCUUCUUCCUGGGCUGGUUACUGAGGAUGUGAGGUGGAGGAGCAGAAAACCCCCCAAAUAGGUUUUUGCUCCAUGCCCAGGUUGAUAUGCAGAGAGAGCAGAUUCCAAGAGUAAAAAUGCCUUGUUUUGUCUAGACCUUCUACCUCUCCAUUGAAUUUCACAUGGCCUAAUAUUAUGUUAUAGAUAGGAGCAACAGAAUAAACUCCAUUUGCCCAAGAGUACAAAUCAAGCAUUUGCAGAAAGGAAGAGCACCUCUAGAUGUGAAUGAACCAUGUAUAUGAAAUUCAGUUAUAUAAUCUUGGCAGUCUGUAUGGACUAAUGACUGAGACCCAAAUAGAUCUAUUGAUUAUCUGUGUGGGCAAAAACCAUGACGGUCCAGAUUCCUUCAUGUGGCUUUGCUUUAUUGUCCAAUAAGACUGCUUAAUUUGAGCUAUCAUACUUGCUUUCUACCCGUAAGCAGAUGGUAUUCCUUUUCUGUCUGUUAGUUUCCUCAUACAGUAUUUUCUUCUAUCUCAUUGGCCAAAAUAGCUCUGUAGCCAAACCUAACUGAAAAAGAGGUUAGGAAACAAUGUUUAGCUGAGUAACAAUGUGUUUGGUUGUUUAAAAUGAGGGUUCUUAUUUAGGGUUUAUAUUAAAGAGUUCUCUUUUUGUAGGGCUUCCUCCUCCCCAAGACUUUUUCUGGGAACUCUAGUCAUCUUCUUCCUGGACUCUCAAUUCCAUCUUCUCAACUCAAAGAGUAUCUGUCCUGGGCUCUACCUGGGUUCUCCUUCCGUGCAUUACAACCUAGACUUUUUCCCAGGUCCUAGAACUGGGGCAGUUGUAGGGCUCAUCUUAUUUUGUUUCUCAUCAUGAAAGAUCAUUUUCCUUCCUUACCUGAUCAGUGUCUCAAAAACCUUUGUGUCAUAUUUUUCUUUUCUUUUGUGUGUGUAUGUUUCAGGUGAGAAGGGCUAAUCAGAUCCCUGUUAUUCUGUAUUGGUUGGGUGUGGAAGUUCCCUAUUGUAUUCACUUUUCCCCUUACUCAUCAUUAUAUUCAUAUCUCUUGUCUACUUGGUCCUUUGGAAAUUAUUUAGGUGUUCUUUGUAAUUUACCAGAAUAUAAGUGAAGUUGGCAUAUGCACAUUACUUCCUGCCAGAGAUAAAAAUGCUUUGAAUAGUUCAACCUCUAAUUAUGCCUCCCUGCCCACAGAAUUUGUGCUUGGGGAGAAUGAAAAUUAAUUCAAGAAGAGACUCUGUCUGGAGUGAAAGGGUGUGGACCUGGAAAGCAGUAAGCUACCUCCUAAACACAACUGUAUUGUGGAAGUGGCCAAAGACCAGGACAUAUAAUGAGCAGGUUGGAAUACUCAUUGGAUAAGAUGCCUGUAGGUGUUAGCCCAAUCCAAAUUAACAACAUUUUUUACAUAAUGUUUAGCAAUUAAUGCACUAUGAUAGAAAUGGUACUGAAUUUAAGGGAUUGGCUGGCAGAUAAUUUAAGCCUGGUCUUAGCUAUGAAUGACUUCCUUUUCUGGUGUAAAAUAAUUUCGAGGUAGGUAUCUCCCAUCUCUAAACUUUCCUUUUGUAGUAUAUGGGAUCUUUACAUACUACUUGAUCUUCACAUACUAAAUUUCUAUUUUUUUGGGAAGACUUUCUUGUUUAGAUGAACUAAAUUAAAGUUUCUGCAGAAAUCAGAGAGCCACUUCAUACCUUAGCUUUCCUCUCUCCCAACCUUUGCAAUUCCUUGUAACCUCCAAAGUCUGUGCCCUAUGGAGAAUUAAAAGAACAAUAUUUGGGUAUUUGGUUUGUUUUUCUUUCUUCCCUACUGGUAACUCAAAUUUUUUGCUAAU